AUGCUAGCUUCGGCAGCACAUAUACUAAAUUUGGAAUGAUACAGAGAAGAUUAACAUGGCCCCUGUGCAAGGAUGACACGCAAAUUCUUGAAGUGUUCCAUAUAAAA
rnacentral:snRNA from 1 species